GGGCGGCUCUGUGGCCCAGGGCGCCUGCGCAAAUCAGCCCGCGGAAGUUCACCUCAUCGUGCCGCGCCUCGCUUCUCCUCGCGCUCGCCAUCUCCUCAGCCUCGAGUCACUUCGCCUCACUGGACGCCAUGCCGCGCCUGCUCGUCCUUUGCCUGCUGCCCCGCCGCCGCGUGACCCGACUGGGGCUACAAUUCGUCCGCCGCCUGGCCCGCUCGGAGUCCCGCCGCCGCCAGCACUCCAAGUCGACUGUGGACCGCCGCGUCGCGCUCGUGUUGUGUGUUACCACCUUCGUAGCACCGAGCCGUUACGUGCUGAGCAAUCUGAGCGAGUUCCGAAGAGCGUAGAUGGAAGAAGACGUGGAGCCGCCGUUGACACCCGAGGAGCUUUCAGAAGAAGCGGCGGCUUGCUUAAAUAUGGACGAUGCAGCCACUGUGUAGUCCCUUCAUAACUCUGUGGUUUUGGUAGUUUGCACUUUUUUAGUACCGUGCGUUACAUGCAGAUGAGUUCGUAGCGUCAUCGAAAAAUGUUGAAUAAAGUUGAAACAUUCAUGCACGGUA